AGAGUUUGAUCCUGGCUCAGGAUGAACGCUAGCUACAGGCUUAACACAUGCAAGUCGAGGGGCAGCAUUUCAGUUUGCUUGCAAACUGGAGAUGGCGACCGGCGCACGGGUGAGUAACACGUAUCCAACCUGCCGAUAACUCGGGGAUAGCCUUUCGAAAGAAAGAUUAAUACCCGAUGGUAUAAUCAGACCGCAUGGUUUGAUUAUUAAAGAAUUUCGGUUAUCGAUGGGGAUGCGUUCCAUUAGGCAGUUGGUGAGGUAACGGCUCACCAAACCUUCGAUGGAUAGGGGUUCUGAGAGGAAGGUCCCCCACAUUGGAACUGAGACACGGUCCAAACUCCUACGGGAGGCAGCAGUGAGGAAUAUUGGUCAAUGGGCGCAGGCCUGAACCAGCCAAGUAGCGUGAAGGAUGACUGCCCUAUGGGUUGUAAACUUCUUUUAUAUGGGAAUAAAGUUUUCCACGUGUGGAAUUUUGUAUGUACCAUAUGAAUAAGGAUCGGCUAACUCCGUGCCAGCAGCCGCGGUAAUACGGAGGAUCCGAGCGUUAUCCGGAUUUAUUGGGUUUAAAGGGAGCGUAGGUGGACAGUUAAGUCAGUUGUGAAAGUUUGCGGCUCAACCGUAAAAUUGCAGUUGAUACUGGCUGUCUUGAGUACAGUAGAGGUGGGCGGAAUUCGUGGUGUAGCGGUGAAAUGCUUAGAUAUCACGAAGAACUCCGAUUGCGAAGGCAGCUCACUGGACUGCAACUGACACUGAUGCUCGAAAGUGUGGGUAUCAAACAGGAUUAGAUACCCUGGUAGUCCACACAGUAAACGAUGAAUACUCGCUGUUUGCGAUAUACAGUAAGCGGCCAAGCGAAAGCAUUAAGUAUUCCACCUGGGGAGUACGCCGGCAACGGUGAAACUCAAAGGAAUUGACGGGGGCCCGCACAAGCGGAGGAACAUGUGGUUUAAUUCGAUGAUACGCGAGGAACCUUACCCGGGCUUAAAUUGCAUUUGAAUAAUCUGGAAACAGGUUAGCCGCAAGGCAAAUGUGAAGGUGCUGCAUGGUUGUCGUCAGCUCGUGCCGUGAGGUGUCGGCUUAAGUGCCAUAACGAGCGCAACCCUUAUCUUUAGUUACUAACAGGUCAUGCUGAGGACUCUAGAGAGACUGCCGUCGUAAGAUGUGAGGAAGGUGGGGAUGACGUCAAAUCAGCACGGCCCUUACGUCCGGGGCUACACACGUGUUACAAUGGGGGGUACAGAAGGCAGCUACCUGGUGACAGGAUGCUAAUCCCAAAAGCCUCUCUCAGUUCGGAUCGAAGUCUGCAACCCGACUUCGUGAAGCUGGAUUCGCUAGUAAUCGCGCAUCAGCCAUGGCGCGGUGAAUACGUUCCCGGGCCUUGUACACACCGCCCGUCAAGCCAUGAAAGCCGGGGGUACCUGAAGUACGUAACCGCAAGGAGCGUCCUAGGGUAAAACUGGUAAUUGGGGCUAAGUCGUAACAAGGUAGCCGUACCGGAAGGUGCGGCUGGAACACCU
rnacentral:rRNA from 1 species